rnacentral:lncRNA from 1 species
ACAAUGUAAUAUUAUACAUAUCCUAUAUAUUACUACUAUUUUCCUAGGGGAUGCUGAGGUUGUGCUGCCAAUGGAUAAGUGAUAGAGCCUCCCUAGUCCCUAUGACUCAAAACUUAGCUUUAAAUUUAGCAGGGUUGUAUAUCACUCUGGUAUCACUUUUAGAUCUUGUCCCUGAUUAUGGGCCAAUGAUUUUUCUUCCCAUCAUGUAUCCUGUCACAUCUUUCUGCAAUCUGGAACAUUAGCCAAUGCAUUGCCUAACAUGCAUUUUGUGUGGUAAACACAGAUUCAAUGAUUUGAAAUAUUCCUAGGAAUUGUGAAUAUUUACCGGGAUCUUGUUUCCCAUUCUCUCUACACAAUGCUCCAUAUGUGUUUCGAAUAUGAACACCCAAAAAAGAAAAAACAAGUGCUCCUGAUUUUCAUCGCUCUGUUACAAAAGAUGUACCUCUUAUCAAUAAUAGUGUCUCUUUCAUUUAUAUGGACUUUAGUUGGUAUUUGGUAGCCUGUUUCAUCUAAUUCUCCAUCCACACAAGGAAAAUUUAUUCAUUCCAUGAGCCCAUAAAUCAUCUGCAUAUCUAUCAGGAAGACUUCGGUCUCUGAUUUUUUCCCAAGCUGAAACAAAAGAUGGUUUGAAGACUUCGGACUGAAUUAUGAUCUAGCUUACUACAGCGAUAAAUACAUACUUUGCAAUUCACAAGUUCCUUCCAGAUAUGCGAAUCCUCAGAGUGUUUCUGAACCAUGUCCCAACUAGUAGUUGCCAUAUAUCUCUUUUUCAUCCAUUUUAACCAAAUGGAUUCAUCUUUUGUCAUUAUUCUCCAAAAUUUUCUAACUUUGGAUGCUUCACAACAGUCCUCAAUAUGUGUUUCUUUUUUAUUCUGCCAAAAAUAGAAGGAAAACAACUUAGAGGUUAUAUGAUAUAUCACAAGUGUAUCUAAAAACAAAAAUAUUAAGUAUAAAAAAUGAAAAUAUAAAAGAUUUGGUUUCUUGUAAUUAAUAUCAAGGUUUAAAAACCGGUUAACCGGUAACCGGUUCUGGCUUACCGGUUUUCCGGUUAGACCGGUUAACCACCGGUUAACCAGUGGUUAACCGGUAGGGGUAUUUUCGUAAAUUUUUUUAAAAUACAGAAAUUAUGUUAUAUACUUAUAUAUCUAUUCCAUGUUUAUAUCCAUGUUUAUAGUAAUUCAAAAUAGUCAUUCAAAAUAGUAAUGCAAAUAAGUAAUUAAUUCCAUAAUGUAAUUCAAAAUAUCCUAAGCCUAAGAUAUCUAUAAGGAGUAAGAUUUAAACUUAUUAAAAUAAAGCCUUGAAAUGAGGCUUUAAUAAAUUAAACAUAAUGGGCUUUAUUAAAUAAAGCCCAUAAGGGAAUUAUUUAUAACUGAGACGGGUAACCGGGUCGGGUAGCCGGGUCGGGUGCGGGUCAGACCCCGCCCCAUCGGCCCAUUUACCCGUUCCAACUAACCGGUCACCGGUUAGUUGGAUUUUACCGGUCAGCCGGUUAACCGCCGGUUUUUAAACCUUGAUUAAUAUUAUUGAACAUAGCUAUUUUUGAACUGAACUUUUUGACUUGUUUUUUUUAAUCCUCGAGUUUAUUUUAUAUUUAAUAUUUUUCACAUUGGAAUAAAAUUUCUUUAAAUAAAAUCUAUCAUAUUAAGCUAUUUAUCAUCACAUACUGUCUUUUUUAGACAUCAUUCUAUUUUCUUGUGUUUUUUCCGACUUUUUCCAACAUGUUUUAUAAGGGUACCAGAAACAAGCAGCAUUUCUGAUUUUGAAGCAGCUGCUCAAGUUUGUUUGCCAGUUAUAAAUGGAUUACUAACUGAACUUAAAAAUGGAACGUAUCCUAAAGAAUCAUUUUUGAAUGUCGAAAUACCGACCGAUUCCUUAAAUCACAAGGUAACAUUAGAAAAAUACAGUUUAUGAAAUUUCUAUUACUUUUGUUAAAGUAGAAUACAAUUAGCAUAUGUAAUAUUUUAUAGUUCUUUUAUAGUAGCAACUAGCAAACAUUCCCGCCACAUAGUAGUGGGUUAGGUAGGAUCAUAACUGAUGAUGUUAGGUUCAGAAGGGACUCUUGCACCACAACCAAUAGUGUUUAGUCGAGUUUGGAUCGAAAAUCGAAUCCCUAGAAGUAAAAGGAUCUUGAACCUAUCGAACAGGUAUCAGAUUGGGAAUCAUAUCUCUAAAUCUAAUUCCAAUCGAGAACCUACCCAAAUUGAUGGAAAAAAUCCGCCACCAAUAGUCUGCCACUAACCACUAUUGGUGGAAGAAAUCCAUCACCAAUAGUCCGCCAUACAAGGUCUAUUUUUUUGUAGUGUGAAAUAGAAAAUGUCAACAACUGGUGUAUUGAAUUAGUGGUGCGAGUCAGAAAACGUAUCGGAGGUGGGAAAGCUUAAUACAAAUUUGGGUCUGGACCAAAUUGUGUUACCACCAAGUCUAAAUACGGCUAUCCUGAUAUCCAACUUGGAUUCACCUACUCAGGUCAACCUGAUACCGCUACUGAACCAGGUCAGUCCGACCGUCUUUACACCCAUCUUGAUUCCUCAGAGAAGUAGCUUUAAUCUGACUUGCCUAACUCACCCAUUAAUCUGCCUCCUGAAUCCCAACCCAUCUCUCAACUCUUCCAAGAUUAAGAGAAAGAUUGGCGAACCUUUCAAAUGGCUAUCUUGAUAGGCUAAACAGACAAGGCUCGUUCAGAACACCUCAGUUGAUAGGCUGUUGUUAAUUGCUUCAGCGAUGAAAGAUAGACGAGGAGAGGAUUAAUUAGAGGAUGAACCUUCAGUUUAGAUACUGAUGUAUACUGCAUCAUGCUAAAAGUAAGUCCCCUUCUCAUCCACAAGAAGCCACUCUCCAUGGCUCUCACAGUGUGGAAUCUAAGGAGGUUGAACUCGGGUAAAUGGGUUAUAGACAAUUUGAGCUCAAAAAACAAUUCAGCAGUAUGAACUCAGAUAUCUUUGGCUUAUUAGAGACUAUGGCCAGAGCAAAGAAUUUUCAGAAUUUAUGUGAACGUUUUGGCGAGGGAUGGGAAUGUUUUUCCAACUAUGUCCCUUCUAUGCCCGAUCAACCAAACUCCGUUUGGGGGAAAGAUAUUUGAAAAGGAUUGGUCUUCAUCUUCAAUGACAAAUUCAUCCACCUACAUUCGUCUAAUAUAGUUGGGCUGUAUUUUCUUAUUACCAUAGUCUGUGGUAUAUAUCUUUAUUUAGAGGGAGGAGAGGAAGGCGUUUGGGAAGAUCUUAGCUUAAUUAGUAUUUAAUAGCAUAAUUAACAAGCUGCCUGUAAGUCGAUUUGCAAUCCACGAACAGAUCUGAUCUCUCCUGAUCAGAUUCUCUCUACCUCACACGAGAAUGGUGGCUCUCUCUAUUCUCUCAAUUCUGACUUCACACAAAAGUACUGAUCUGAAACGUGUAAUCAGAUCAGAAAAAAUAGAAGUGAAGGAAAAAUAAGAACACGCAACAAAAGAGAAUGUUUUGUUAACGAGGUUCAGCUGUACUUACUACUCGGGGGUGAUUGCCUGGGUUCCUCCUACCCUUGGUGACAAGAAUUACAAAUGGCAGAAAAUUAUCCAGCACACUUUACAAGAGAAAAAUUAGAUGCUAUUUAUACUUAGUUAUCUAGGGAGACGUGCCCUAACCCUUGAUAAUUAAUUAAUCCAGCAGAUCCAAUAAGAAUUAUUAGCCCAUGAGGAAUAUUCUCCAUCUAACUUAUGCCUUCCUUAUAAUUUAAUUAAUCGCUCACUGAAAUAAUUGCAAAUAACUCCUUGCAAUUAAUUUCAAUAUAAUUAACUCCAACACUGCCUUGGAUCUAUUGAUGACUUUAACAAGACAAGAACUCCAGAUGAGAGAGUUUGGCAAUGGCCAGGGAGUAUAUACUACUAUAUAGCCAUGGAGGGCUUGGGGAAUUCAUUGUUAUCAAAUAUUUUCACCUCGUUAGGAAGGGUUUCACUUGGAACAACAACUCUUCGGAAAGCAAAUUCAGGCAAAGCAAGUUAGACAGAGACUUCACCAAUCUGAAUUGGAUUAAUAGGUGGCCAACAACCAGGGUGAAAUAUUUCAGAGGCGCCUCUAGUGACCACCCCUCCAUGAAUGUUAUCUUCUCUAUUGAGAAGGGGGGGAACAUUUCAAGGUGCAUUACUCGUGCUUCAUUUUCAGUCAUGGCAGAAGGUACACUCAUCACUUUACCAUUCACUAACCAAAGAUGAGUAAGACAAGGAGACUAGACUUUUUUAUUUUGUUAUGGGUGAACUAAUCAGAAUGAUAAUUUAGGCACUUAAGGAAAGCAGAAUGUAUUGAAUAUUUUCACAUUAAAAAUAAGAAUUAUAUUUUAAAUCUAUAUGGAAUUAUGGAUCAUAUUUCUAAAUUAUAAUAAUAAGAAAAUACUAUUAACAUAUGUAAAAAUUGUAAUUAAGGCUUUUACAAUCUUUUAACUUGAGUUUUUUUUUGAAACAAGCAACUUUUAAACUAUGUUUUAUUACCAUUUGAUUAUAAGGUUUGUUUCUAACGACCAUGUUUAUCUUGGAUUGUUUACCAUUCUUUUUGUUUUCAUUAGGGAUAUAAAGUUGCUAAACAAGGAAAAAAAAUGAUAAAGGUUGGGUGGAUUUCAACAACUCCCAAUUCUUCCGUAGAAAAAACAUAUGUUGCUGCAGAUGUAGAGGAAAAUUCAGGGGAAGACUCAUCUUCAUCGGACGGACUUUGGUUUAAGAGAAAGGUAAUUUUUUUUUUGUAAUUUAUAAAUAUUUUAUUCAGAAAAGAUGAUAGUACAGGAAUUUCUUCUUCUGAAAGUACGGUAGGAUAUUUUCAAUAUCCCUGCCAAAGCAAAUGCAACCCUUGUAACUAGGAUAACCAGAAAUCAAUAAACAAACAAAGAAACUAAACAUAAAUGCAUAGUUGUAUCCUACUGGCCAAGUUCCUACAUCCUAGGAAUGUACAAUAUUCAAUAUUUUGCUAUCUUAUAUAAAUGAGAUCAACUUUAAUCUUGCAAGGUUCGAAGUUCAAUUAGAAGGUUCUUUCCCUUGCUUCCUUUUAUUUCUUCAUUCCAGAGAUGCCAAACUAUGGGAUAGGGGCAUUCUGGUUAAUUGGAGCUUGUUUCUUGUUAUCGGCUACAGCCUACAGCUAGUGUACACACCAACGUGCAUUAUAUCAAAUACAUUUUCUGUCAUCCUAUUACCAAAUAUUUUGUUGAUUAUUUUCAAACCCAAGAUUAUGUUUCACCUAGAACAUUUGUACUUCUUUCAUAUGUUAUGUUCCUUGCUAUUAAUUUCAUUUUUCAAAGUUUGAAUAUGAGCAUAGUUUUAUGAACAUUAUGCCUCUUAGAUAGAAUUGUUUUGGAAGCUUCUUUUUAAGAUAUUCUCAAAAUCUCAAUGUCUACAAUCUAAUAUGUUUUUAUUUGACAUUUACUUAUCCCAUCAUUUUUUUCCAAUUUGAAAAGAUAUUGAGUCAAGAAGAUGAUAAAGAAAAGCAAGAUGAAGACUGUGAGGAUAUCGACCAUAAAUUCCUGAAGGAAGGAUAUGUAAGUUUUUUUUUAUCAAUGUCAAUAAAAUAUUCUUAAUGAUCUGUUUUAAACCUAUAUUUCAAUCUACAAUUAAAAUAAAUUCUACCACAGGUAACAAUCACACCACUUUGUGGUCUGUCAAAUGCUUCAAAAGAAGAUCGAUCUUUCUUUGGUAACUUUGCGCAUAACUUGUCAUCUCUGUAGAAAGUAAGUUCUCAAACAUUUGCAUUAAAGAUCUCAUAUGAAUAUUAUUCUGUCAACUUUGCUUACAUUCUAAAUUUCAAUCAGUUUUCAAGGAUGGAAGUUUCUUUGAAGUUAUUACAUAGGAUUUGACAUCACAAAUCCUAUAUCUGUUUUAAAAUUUCAAGUUCAUUCUAUUGAACCUUAACAUUCAAUAAUUAUGCAUACAACAUUGGUGAACUCAAAAAAUUAUUCUGUAAUUGUGAAUUCAUAUUUAAAUUUGUGCAGUGGCUAGUGUGGCUUAAUGAUGUGUAAAAUUUCUUUCUUGGACUUAAGUACAAUUUUAGACAUGAUACUCCUAAAAAACCUAUUUGAAAAUCACAUGAACUCACAUGUCAAUAGGGUUAUAGGGAUGCAAACGAGUCGAACCGAGCUUUGGUGUUGAGCUAAGCUCGUUAAAGUUUUAGCCAGACUUGGGUUCGGGCUCGCCGGCUCGGCUAGAAAUCUAUUUUAGAAAGCUCAGAGUUCGACUCGGAGCUCGAUAAGCUCGACUACAAAACUGGCAUCGCAAACAAUAUAACCUUAAAAAAUUAAUUUUACAAUACAUGUUGUAACUUGUAAGUUGUAACCCGAACCUAUGAGUUUUUAUAUAAUUUCUAGGGUUGAUGGUGUUUUAGCUCAUUUAUUUCUAGGAUAUGAUGGGGAAGGUCUGUCUUCUCAAUCACAUUAUACUACAGAGAAAUAAAUUGAGAUUUAACAAUUGUAACCCUAAGUACAAUGAAUAAAUUUUCCUACUAAUUAACUAACCUAAUUACGAUUCAUUUGUAAUUAAAACAAAAAAAAAUCUAAAAGAAAUGAAGGUCAUCACGGUAACUGGACCUGAAUCAUGGUGGAGGUAUUUAUAAAAGGGAAGAAAGGUUGGAGAUGAAGUUCCAUGCGUGACAUAUCAGUGGAAUGCAUGUGGCCUGUCAUCACGUACAAGCGCCGCCUGCGUGGUGAGAUGGGGGUGUACGACUACUACUACCAUCAGAGUGGGAAAAAAGAUGACAAAAAUUUUAAUUUAAAAAAUGAAGAUUAAACAUAUACUUUUAGAGCAAUUGCUAUAGUUAGUGUGUUGGAGAUUGUAUCCUUGAUGUUGUUGGAAGGCAUGGAUAUAUAAGAAGUUGGAAGAUAAUGAUGAAAUUCGCAGGUGGAUUGUAAGAUUACCAAAGAUUUACCUUAGUGUGCAAAAACAAAGAUGUUCGCCUUAUCGAAA